UUAAUCCAAAAGCAUUCUAGUGUGUUGGCUCCCAGCUCACGCCCUGACCGUGGACUGAUCCGGCCUGCCCUGAGGUUACCUUCCCUGCUCAUCAGGUGUGAGGACCUGGGCAAGUCACUGCACCUCUCUAGGCUUCAUUGUUCUCUCCUGGAAAAUGGGACCUGGCACCAGGACUUAAGCACAGGUUUGCGGGGAAGCUUCUGUUCCUGAUUGUGAACUAUUGUAGCUCUCAGGUAGUGUCACACACACAGGAAAUACUUCUUGGACUGCAUGCUCUGCCAGCACUGACCACCAAGUACUUCCAGGUCAAGCUAGUCCCCUGCCCUCGCAUCGCCAAAACUCCUCCCUUCAGGGUCUUAUAAAAUUGACUAAAAAAUUGUAUUCUACCCCUUCUCCUUACGAAUUCCAAAGUGGCCAAGCGGUACUGCUCUGAAUAGCACCAUGAAAACACAGAAAGAUGACAUGUUUGUAAGGAUGAACAUUUGAGAAAUCUCACCAGCAUUCAAAAGGCAGGUGUCUUGGGUUUAUUCAGUUCUCUUUAUCUGGUUGGAACGCCAGUUUGCUCAGGGCAGGACUCUGUGGAACUCAUUCACCCAUGGGCCUUAAGCAUCUGGGACAGUGCUUGGAACAAACAGGAUCCCUGCUUGCUCUUUGGCUGCCUGAUAUUCUGAAUGGACUGAAGUAAAACAAAGUGAGAGAGAAGAAAAAAUACAUUCCACUUUGUAGCUGCUUAUUAUAAGAAACUUCCACCUUGUCCAUGUAUGAGAUGCAUAUACAGAGAUCAUGGAAACAUCACACAGCAAAGUCUUUCUCCAGCAACUUGCUUUCAGAUACAAAGCGACACUCCAAUGUCAGAAAUCAUUUUAGAAAUUGCUUUUCCCUUUACAAAGCUCUGAACUUUGACUAAUUCCUCAAAGACACUUGUGUUUAUAUGGCUGUUUAUUUACUUAUUGUCCCUGGGUUGUUCAAUAGGUCUCUUGACAUCAUUCCUCCUAUCAUUUUGUAUCCUUUGACCAAUGUGCCCCCAAUACUUCCCAGCUCAACCAAGUCCAGCCUCCAGUAACCUCCCAUCUACUCCUUCUUUCUAUGUAUCAACUCUUUUAGGUCCCACGUACAAGUGAGAUCAUGCGGUAUCUGUGUUUCUGUACCUGGCUUAUUUCAUUUAGCAUAAUUAGGAUUUUAUUCUUUUUUUCAGCUGAAUGAUAUGCAAAUGUAUGUAUGUAUACACCCCCCCCACCCCCCCCACACACAGUUUCUUUACUCAUUCAUCUGAUAGAUAUUUAGGUUAAUUUCAUACCUUAACUAUGGUGAACGGUGCUGCAGUGAACAUGAGGUGCAGACUACCUUUCACAUAAUGAUUGUGUUUCCUUUGGAUGUAUUACCCAGCAGUGGGAUUGCUGGAUCAUAUGGUAGUUCUGUUUUUAAAGUUUUUCAGGAACCUCCAUACAGUUUUCCAUAGUGGCUAUACUAAUUUAUAUUACAACUAAGAGUGUACAAGAAAUUCCCUUUCCUCCACAUCUUCUCCAACACUUACCUGUUGCCUUUUUGAUAAUAGUUAUUCUGACAGAUAUGAGAUGAUACCUCAUUAUGGUUUAAGUUGCAUUUCCCUAAUGAUUAAUGAAGUUAAACAUUUUUUCAUCUAGCUUUUGGCCAUUUGUAUGUCUUAUUUUGAGAAGUGUCUAUUCAGAUCUUCUGUUUCAUUUUAAAUUAAGUUACUUGUUUUCUUAAUAUUGAGUCGUUCAGGUUCUGUACAUGUUUUAGUUAUUACCUCCUGGUCAGACAUGUGAUUUACAAAUAUGUUCUCUCUUUCUGUAGGUUGUCUCUUCACUCUGUUGAUCAUUUCCUUGGCUGUGCAGAAGCUUUUAAGUUUGAUGUAAUCUGAUUUGUCUAUUUUUGCUUUUGUUGCCUCUGCUUUUGCGUUCAUAUUCAAAUAAAUUAUUGCCCAGAUCAACAUCAUGUAUAGGGAUACUUACUAUUUCAAUGUAAACUUACCAAAAUCACAAAAAAUGUAUUGUUAGAAAGUAACUAUGCCACAUAAUGUUUCCACACAAGACUGUGCAACUUGUAUAAACUGUAUUACAUGAUGAAAAUCUCACAAUAGUGCUCAAAACCUCAGGUGUCUAUCUCAAAAGAAGACACAGUCAUUAGAUUGCCUUAUAAUUUGGAUUUUCCUUGAUUAAAAUUUCACAUUCACAUUUGUAUUUCCUUACCUCUGUAGAAAUAGCAUUAAAAGUAAUUCCCCAGGCAUCUGUGAUUGCUCUAGGAAUUUUUAUAUAAAACCUAUAUAUAUAUACACACACACACACACACACAUAUACAUAUAUAUGUGUGUGUCUAAAAAUAGUGUAUAUGUGACAUAGAAUUAUAUUUUGGAUAUAUUAAAUUGUCAUAUCUUUAUUCUUCAUUUUGUAGUCUAGGCAACUAAAUAACCACCAAAGUGACAAAAUAAGGGUACCUUUUCAUAACUUAGAAACCAAGGAAGAAUGACACAAUAUGCUAAUAAAAUUUUCUCCCAAUUUCAACUGGAACAAUUAAAUGAUAAAUUCCUAUGUAGAGAAAUGCAAUCAUCUAUAAUUUCUUCAUUUCAGGUCAGUUAAUAUGACCAUUUAAGCCUGUAUUUCCUAUUGCACUUCUCUUUUAGGUUGACAAAGAAAACAAAUCAGAAAUUCAACUAGCAGUUUUCCAAAAUAAAACAGUAAGGCUUAUUACCCUGACCUUAGCAGUUGGUACCCAAUUUAGUAUCUUUAUACUACGAUGGUUUUCUUGUAAAUGUUAUCCUUGGCCACAUCUAAAAUAACAAGUUUUUACUUAACAUUUAUUUUUUUCUAAAGAAAUUCAGUCUCUAGAAGGAAAUAAACCUGGCAGAAAUAGAAUUCCUACUUUUCUCCCUUAUGCUAGGCUCUAGAAAUACUGAGGAAAUCAUCCGCUUUCAGGACUGUUCUUGAAAGUGAUAACUUGCAUGCACUUGAGCCGCAUCUCCCCUUCCCAGCACACCUGAACCCCAGGUCCCACUGUUGAUCUCCCUCUUCAAAGCAGCUCUGUUAUCUUCCUGAAACUGGAGAGGGAGAGGCUUACUCCUACUUUCAAACCAAAAACAGAUUUAGACCCGAAAGGAUUUAAAAAUAACCUAAAAAUAAAGUCCCAAAGCUGGCUUUUCUAUGUUCAAUCACACAACACUCGAAACAAUUGUGUGUUGCUUUGAGUCCCAAAUGCUUUAAUUUUUUUAAAGAAUAUGCAGUUCACUUUCUUAUUCCAGCAAACAUCGCAUUUAUACUAUCAAUAUGUCCAGGGUUUACUAAAACUUCAUAAAUGACUCUCUGAUAUUUGAAAGGGCAAGAUUAGAGUGGCUUCGUAUUUCAAACACAUACGUCAAAGAGUUGCGUAACACAUAUGCACAUAUUAAAGUUAUUACAGAUGUGAAAAUCUGCUUUUUUUUCCUGCCAAAGAAACAUGUACUUCCUUCAUGAAGAAUUUCCUAAACAAAUUUUGCCAGUUUAAUUGCCUAUAGAAAUUUAUUUUUAAAACAUUUUAUUUAAACCAUGUAAGUCCCAAGGUAGUCUGUGAACGUGAACUUUAAAGCUAACAUUUUUGUCACUAGUUCCUUUUUGCUAUGUCAGAAAAGAAAACAAUUCACAGCCAUUUUAUUUUUCCAGUUUUUCUCAAGGUUAGAGACUGUCUCAACCUCAUAGGCUCAGAAGAAUGCCUUUAUUUUCCCAUGAAAAGAUAAUCCUGAAGUAAUAUUUGCAGCAAGAGGCCAUUAGGCAAGUGUUGACCCUUUAUGGCUAGUCCAAUUUCCUCUCUAUGUGAGAUAUUAGUAAUUAAAUUCAGAUUUCUGUGUAUUUAUUUUCUUUCCUCAACUCUGUUCAUGGAUGCCAUUUUUAGGUAUCUCUUGCCACUUGAGCAAUCAAUAAGCAAAAGAGAGAUUUGUAAGAGGCCUUAAAAGGAGAGAAAGAGGAUUUUUCUCUUAGGCCCAGUUAUAGAAUCAGUUGUUAUUUUUUGGUCUGCAAUAAAUUUUUCCCAUAUCUGUAUGGGCAUUCCACCCGCGAGUUUCAGUUCUCUUAUUGCUUUUCUAAAUGUCUUGAGAGGUCACUAGAAAAUUAUUACAGUUCAUUAUUAUCCAGAAACUCCAACUUCUGACAUAAAGUAGCAAUUAUUUUUAACUUAAUCACAGACUAACAUAGUUUUGGAUGUUGGAAGAAAUAAUGCUAAAAUUGUAUAGCUCAAAAAAAAGAAAGAGAGAGAGAGAGAGAGAAAGACAGCCUGAAUAUGUCUUGAGUUUGAGAAUUUUUCAAUCUUGCUUUAUUCUCAGGGAUAAUUUUCAAACCUGAAAUUAAAUAGAUCAGUUGAGACAUGGAAUAAGCUUCUAUGGAGGCUCAUUAUAAAACUCAUGUAGAGUCUAAUCAUUCUUCCUAACACUCAUUUUUCCACCCACUAAAUCAUUAGCUUCAUUAACAGUGAUUAAAACUAAACCUCAAUCUGGCAGAGUUGGAUGGAUUCUCACGUCCUUCUAAUGACUAUAGUCUAAAGCACCCCACUGGGAAAGUGAGUGCUUCCUGGAGCCCGUGGACACAGAGGGAAGAG
rnacentral:lncRNA from 1 species